rnacentral:rRNA from 1 species
GACGAACGCUGGCGGCGUGCUUAACACAUGCAAGUCGAACGGAAAGGCCCUUCGGGGUACUCGAGUGGCGAACGGGUGAGUAACACGUGGGUGAUCCGCCCUGCACUUUGGGAUAAGCCUGGGAAACUGGGUCUAAUACCGAAUAGGACCACGCACUUCAUGGUGUGUGGUGGAAAGCUUUUGCGGUGUGGGAUGGGCCCGCGGCCUAUCAGCUUGUUGGUGGGGUAAUGGCCUACCAAGGCGACGACGGGUAGCCGGCCUGAGAGGGUGACCGGCCACACUGGGACUGAGAUACGGCCCAGACUCCUACGGGAGGCAGCAGUGGGGAAUAUUGCACAAUGGGCGCAAGCCUGAUGCAGCGACGCCGCGUGAGGGAUGACGGCCUUCGGGUUGUAAACCUCUUUCACCAGGGACGAAGCGUAAGUGACGGUACCUGGAGAAGAAGCACCGGCCAACUACGUG